CCUACGGGAGGCAGCAGUGGGGAAUAUUGGACAAUGGGGGGAACCCUGAUCCAGCCAUGCCGCGUGUGUGAAGAAGGCCCUCGGGUUGUAAAGCACUUUCAGUGAGGAAGAACGCCUGGUGGUUAAUACCCAUCAGGAAAGACAUCACUCACAGAAGAAGCACCGGCUAACUCCGUGCCAGCAGCCGCGGUAAUACGGAGGGUGCGAGCGUUAAUCGGAAUUACUGGGCGUAAAGCGCGCGUAGGUGGCUUGAUAAGCCGGUUGUGAAAGCCCCGGGCUCAACCUGGGAACGGCAUCCGGAACUGUCAAGCUAGAGUGCAGGAGAGGAAGGUAGAAUUCCCGGUGUAGAGGUGAAAUGCGUAGAGAUCGGGAGGAAUACCAGUGGCGAAGGCGGCCUUCUGGACUGACACUGACACUGAGGUGCGAAAGCGUGGGUAGCAAACAGGAUUAGAUACCCGUGUAGUC
rnacentral:rRNA from 1 species